rnacentral:lncRNA from 1 species
UGCCGCGCCACGCAAUGCUAUAUGCGCCUGUUUGUCAGUAACGGUAGUACCACCAUUCGUAGCCGUGGUAAUAUUAUGGUGGGUGUUGUUUUGCAUCUCGGAUUGCUGAUUGCUUGACGCCUGGCACUGCUGCAGCUGUUGCUGCUGCCAUCCAAAUCCGACUGGGCUGGGAAUGAAUGAACGACUCACCGCCACCGCUUUUCUCCAGAAGCGUUCCCCUCCAGAGGCGGUCAGGCGAGAAGUGACGACGGCUAACUGUAGUAGUAGCUUAUGGUUUCUACAGUCACAGCAAGAUGUCAGGCAUUACUUACAAUGGCACUAUCUGAGUGUUACUAGCUAAGCAAUUGAACUGAGAGGAUAGGAUCUUCUUCGUCAUGGGAAGCUGAAAACCCGUUCUGUGUACUGCUGAGCCGCUCACGUCGUUGUCAAUGACGAAGGCCCAACGAACUGUUUCGGCUGGACUAUACUAAAUGUACAUGGUUACGUAUUGUGACGGACUAACCUAACUGGAGUUAAUAUAAGCAUGAGGUUCAUAUGCGCAGCUCAGCAAAUAUUAUAAUACGGUAACGGGGCUUCUCACAGGAGACCGAAGCGUGCAAAAAGACAAGGCGCAAUAGCCAACAUUUGCGUUUGAGGGCUGAAACUGUGCGGAGAAACGUUAUUUCUACAGUUAUGCGUGCAUCGUAUAGCAACUGUUGGCGUGGUUGACGCCUUUGGAUGUUAAGAAGAUCGGAAUUAGCUGCUAAAGUAGAAUGAGGCGAAGAUAUAAUCUGUUCAUGUUAUCUAUCACAGUUGAAAUUUUUAUAUUUGUGCAAUAAGUAGAACAAUCUUCAAAACGGUUAUAAUGGUCUUGAUUAUACUUUGGAUUGGCUUGGCUUGUAAACGACAAGUGGGAAAAGCAUCGGGUUCAUGGUCAAAGUAAGCAAGUUCCCCAUCGAUUCCCAAGUUGCUGAACCUUGUUUCCAUCAAAAACGGCUAUUUAGCAACUCCAGCAUUGACAGAAUAUAUUUUUACCACAGAUCGAGUGGUAGCAGCCAAUGAGUACCAGUAGAUACGAUCAGGACGGUUAUCACGCACUUCUUUCUCAGACAACCGCUAAAGGAACCAAUACUGAUUCCAGUGAUGCAUCAAGAUCUGGCGCAUCGUAAAAAAUCUGCAGUUGGCGACGGCCAAGGAAGUAAAAAGCAUGGUGAAGUCAGAAAUGCUACAGGUUGUUGGCUCGGCUUUUUUCGGCGGCGUUAUGCGAAAGGCAGAAGAGCUACAAUACGAAAGACGACAACGACAAAACUUCCUCCCUGGAGUCUGAGGCAGAAGAAAUAUACAUGAUACCCCGCCAACACAUUACACUUGAUUUCAAAAUUUUCUUAGCUUUGUAUGGGCUUUCUGAGAGAUCGCUCUUCGCCUCACAGGACCCUACACAACACCAUCUGUCAGGGGCCCGUGAGUUUAGUGUUUGUCCCACGGGACCAUUCAGGAAAAUGUGUCCGGGUGUGUGAGAUAGAAAAGCAAAGUUUACUUUGAACGAAAUGCUUUGAUCGCCAAGUCGUAUCAGGACUCGGCUCGGUGUUUUAUUCACGCGCAAGUCACAAAUCUGUUGAAGUGCUAAAGUUCGAAAUGCCAUUGAGGAUAUGGAGUUGCCGAGAGACAUGAGAAAAAGGCAACCGAUGUGUCAAUCAUAAUGGAUGCACAGAGGAAAGUUGUUUUCGUAAUAGUGGCUCGAAUAGCGGAUCAUUGGCCACAACGCGUCUGAUGCUUGAAUUUACGAAAAAAUUACGCUUAGAAUAGAAUAGAAUAGAAUAGAAUGGAAUAAAGAUGGCUAUGCGGGACCUAAACCUCGACGUAUUUGUUGGGUAGUAACAGUCAGACUUCAAAACUAUCACACGUCUGCAGCGAGCACUAAGCUUAGUGGCCUCUUGAACGAUGUUUUCUUCUCUUCUAAGGUUCUAAUCCACAUGAAGCCCCAGGUACAAUUAAAUAUUCAAAUUUUUUCAUCGUUUUCUGGAUUAUGACCACAGCGACUAAGCGGUGUGAUUCACUGUCGAGUGUUUCUCGAAAACGGUAGUUAAUGUUGUAAA